rnacentral:rRNA from 1 species
AUUGAACGCUGGCGGCAGGCUUAACACAUGCAAGUCGAGCGGAGAUGAGGUGCUUGCACCUUAUCUUAGCGGCGGACGGGUGAGUAAUGCUUAGGAAUCUGCCUAUUAGUGGGGGACAACAUUCCGAAAGGAAUGCUAAUACCGCUUACGUCCUACGGGAGAAAGCAGGGGAUCUUCGGACCUAGCGCUAAUAGAUGAGCCUAAGUCGGAUUAGCUAGUUGGUGGGGUAAAGGCCUACCAAGGCGACGAUCUGUAGCGGGUCUGAGAGGAUGAUCCGCCACACUGGGACUGAGACACGGCCCAGACUCCUACGGGAGGCAGCAGUGGGGAAUAUUGGACAAUGGGGGGAACCCUGAUCCAGCCAUGCCGCGUGUGUGAAGAAGGCCUUAUGGUUGUAAAGCACUUUAAGCGAGGAGGAGGCUACUGAGACUAAUACUCUUGGAUAGUGGACGUUACUCGCAGAAUAAGCACCGGCUAACUCUGUGCCAGCCGCCGCGGUAAGAC